UACGUAGGGGGCAAGCGUUGUCCGGAAUCAUUGGGCGUAAAGCGCGUGUAGGCGGCCCGGUAAGUCCGCUGUGAAAGUCGGGGGCUCAACCCUCGAAUGCCGGUGGAUACUGUCGGGCUAGAGUGCGGAAGAGGCGAGUGGAAUUCCUGGUGUAGCGGUGGAAUGCGCAGAUAUCAGGAGGAACACCGAUAGCGAAGGCAGCUCGCUGGGACGGUACUGACGCUGAGGCGCGAAAGCGUGGGGAGCAAACAGG
rnacentral:rRNA from 1 species